GAGUUCAUGGAAUUAAUUACCCCCUUUAUUGACUGUAGUAUAUUAAUAUUUGGAUCAUAGUACUGCUUCAUGAAAAAAAAAGGUUGAGAACAAAGCUAUUUAGUCAUAUUUUAUGGAAUAGGCCAAAGUACUCCCCAGCACAUUUUGUUGGCAUGUUUGUAAUGUAAUGAUAAGAGAUCCUCCUAUAUAUACACACACACACAACUAUAAGUCUUACCGACUAUUAAACCAUUUUUUCUCUCUAUAUACCUUUCUUUUUUGUCUUCUGCUGCAUUUGUAUCAUGGUAUCAAGAGCUUCUCUUUGAUCCUGAACCUUGGUUUCCGCAACAGAUUCUCUUCCUCCUGAAAACAGAGUAUUAUGUAAUGAAUUAUGUUACAUUACAAUGUAUUGAUGUGUGUAUAAAAUCUAGAGCAGCAAUGCUUAUUUAUAUUAAUCAUAAUCCUGACUAAUUAGGAAAAUAAAUCAUGAGAUAAUGAAAUAUGGUAACUGAUCCUAAGAUAUAAUGGGAAGUAUGGAAACUAUUCCUAAAGUGUAUCUAAGAUACUCUAAGAUAUUUUCAUAUAGCAAUGACCACGGACUUUACAUGUAGAAGCCAAGAGAUGCAUAAUCUUAUCCCAAAAUAAAAAGCUCAUCCAAAGAUUUUUCUUGAAAGGGCUCCAACCAAAUGCACAAAAGAGUAGCGUAUAUGACACAUUGCCAUGAAAAUUAGUUUUUUUUUUUUCCUUCAAUCAAAACUAAUAAGGCUAUUUAACAGAAAGUGGUCCAAAUCUGGAGGACCUAGGGCAAACCCAUCACUUCCACUAAAAGGACAAAUGUAGAAUUAAAGAAACAGCUGGAGAACAAUGAAUAUGUGAUAAAAAGUGACUAGUGGAGCAAAUGAUGUACAACCUUACAUGCAGUUUUUUUUAUUACUUCCAAUCUGUACAUAAAGGCUUGUCUACUACUACAGUAUUUGUUUUCAAUUUUUUUUGGCACAACCAUGUAUUUUCCAAUUUGGUUCUCUCUGCCUGUUGUCUGGAAAUUCUAGUGCCCAUUAUUUAAGCGGACCGGUUGUGAAAAACAGUAUUGAACAUGAACACAGGUGCUUGGGGAUUCUGCUUCAAAAGGUAAAUGACAGAGCUUAUGUCCAUGACAAAAUAGAUUGGAUGUAUAAGCAAGCAAACAUUGCAAUUCCAACAAAUAGACUUGGGUUGGCAAAAGCAAUGGGAUUGGUUGCUGCAUCCCACUUGGAUACAGUGUUGGAGAAGCUGAAGGAUAUUUUAGACAAUGUUGGACAAAGCAUAUUUCAGAGGUUUAUGCCAGACUUAUAGGAUCGAGUGUAUACACUUUUCUUUCUGGAUUGGUUUAUCUGCUCACAUCAUAAACCCUUGCUUUUGUAUAUGAAUAUUGAACAUAAUUUAUUGACAAAUUAUUGUUGUCUCUUUCUAAAUUUGCU